rnacentral:rRNA from 1 species
UACAGAGGUCUCAAGCGUUGUUCGGAUUCAUUGGGCGUAAAGGGUGUGUAGGUGGCGCGCUAAGUCGGGUGUGAAAUUUCGGAGCUUAACUCCGAAACUGCAUUCGAUACUGGCGUGCUUGAGGACUGGAGAGGAGACUGGAAUUCAUGGUGUAGCGGUGAAAUGCGUAGAUAUCUGGAGGAACACCGGUGGCGAAGGCGGCAUCCUGGACCAAUACUGACACUGAGGAGCGAAAGCCAGGGGAGCAAACGGG